AUUUUUAAUAUAAUUUUAUAGCAGCUAAUCAUUCAAGAAUUUUCUCAAUGUCGUAUAAUUUACAUUACAACAUAUUACUUAACAAUCAAGUGUUUAUUCUCAAUUCUCAUAGAACAUUUACUAUUCAUGUCAGAAAUUUACUAAUAAUAAAUAGUUGACUCUACUUUUGGAAGACUCGUGGAUUGAAAUUAGACUCAGAGAUUUGCACUUGUCAUAUCACUAAGUUGUCCCCACAACAAAGUCUCAAUAUACUGAAAAUUCAUCAUACAGAGUAAAUUCCUUAUAACUUAUAUGAUAUAGUUCUUUUUCACACUACAGGAUAGGUCACAGAAACCUCCUUCAAUUCUUAAUGCUUGAACAUUUUUAUUUAUGUGAUUACAGUGUAUCAAGAUACUUAAGAUUAUCUCUUUCAUAGAAUCUCAAAAUCAAUACACCCUUCUAACAUCUCAACACGGUAUUCCCUUCUUGAAAAUGAUUGGGUCCACAUCAUAACAUAUAUUAUGCACCCGUCAAAUUACAUAAGUAUUUUCAUCUCAAACAAUGAAAUUUCUCAUCACAAUGUUCAUAUAUAUAUAAAAUCAUCAAUUUAUAAAAGAUUCAAUCAGUACAUGUAUCAUGACAACACCCAAUUACGAGGAAGAUCUCUCAAAAGCUUUAAAAUUCAAUUAAACAUAAAAAUUUAAAAAUGUAGAAGAUGCAUUUUGUUCUCAAUGAGUAACAGGAUUGCCUAACGAGGCAUUCACAGGAUCCCUAUCUCACCCAUCGAGGUUCUCUUGCCCGACUUCCAAACUCUUGGGUUUUUAGAUAAAAAAAGUUCACCCCAAGAGUGACUCACUCAGUGACUAAUGCUCUUAGAUUUUUAAUUCCCCAACUUCAGUGAGAACUUUGCACGCCCAUUGGUCAAUGCUCUUGAGUUUUCUAAUUUACGAAUUUCGCCUAAUGAGCUUAUGGCUUGCCCAACAAGUCUAUAAUGUAAAACUAGUUCAUGUGAAUCAAAUUGGAUUUUUUUUUAUCCUUUCUUACUAGUUUAGGAAACUAGAAUCUCAACUUAAGUCACUUGAUCAUAUUCAUAAUUCUACAAUUUAUCAAGUAACCUUAAAAUCAAUUUACAAAGUUUAAAACACAAAGUUUAAGAGAGAGCGUGAUGAAGAAAGAAAACGCAGAGAACGAAAGCGUAAGUGGCGCGGGCUUCGAAUUAGGGUAAUAACGAGGGUUUAGACAACGGUUCUAACCCAACAACCAUUGUCUAUUCCCUAUAUGAUUUAACUAGAAAGCGAUUCCUAUUACAAUCGAUAUCUAUCUACCCGUUUUAAUUUAAAAAAUGUCACCGCAUUUUGAUAGACAGUGUUUAUCGUAAUACACUAGUAUAAAUAAUUGAUUUUUCUAUUUAUAUAAUUUUUUUUACUUUAAUAAUAAAAUAUUCCGAUAUCAUUUUAAUUAUACUAUUUGUUAUUUUAAACUUAUUUUCAAAGGCAUUAUAUAAACAAACAUCUUUCUAUUUUAUAAGCACAUUAAACCUAAAUAUCCUUAUAUGAUAGUAGACAUUAGAAUACAAAUUUUAAAGCUGGAUUGAAAUACUACAAGAAAAAGGAAUUAUUAAUAUUUCAUGCCUUCAAAAUAAUAAUUGUUUUACUGUUAUGGAAAGGCAAAAGGAAUAUAUGAAAAAUAGAAAGAAAAAAUAGAAGAAUAUUUUAAAUAUGAUUACCUUCUAUUUUAAAUAGAAGAGUUUUGAUCCAAACACUUAUUUUCAUCCUUUUUCGUCUUUAUCGUAACUUAUCUCUUCUUUAUCAUAACUUAUGAUGUGUCAAAUAAGAAGCCUUUUGUUUUUAAAAAGUUUGUUUAGACAACCAGUUUCAUGGAUGAUGCCAGUUGAAGAUUGCUUUACACAAACUCUUUAUAAUUAUUUUAGCCAAUAAAAUAAAAUGUUCUUUUAGUUUAUAAAAAAUAAAAUGUUCUUUUAGUUUAUAAAAAAUAAUUUCAUUUUAGCACACGGAACAAAUAGUAUGUUAUUGAAAUAAGUAGAUAAUAUAUUUAUUUUUGUUUUAGUUUUUAAAACUUUUUAUUAAGUUUUUUAAUUCUUAAUUACGCCAAUAUAUUUAUGUAUACUUUUGAUCAUUUAUUUAAUUAUCUUUAAUAUAUACUGAAACAAUUGUAUCUUCUUCAAAUGAUUUUUUUUUAAUAUUAUAAAAAUACUAAUGAGAAGUGGAAUAUAAUUUUUUUAAUAUUUUAUCGUUAACUUUUUAUUUAAAAGUAUAUUAUAAGUAUUUUAAAAUUGUCUUUAAUAUUAAUUUUUAUCUAUUUUUUAAACUAUAUAUUAUAAUAUUUUUAUGUAUUUAUGGUGGUAUUGUUAAAAUAAGUUUAUGUUAAUAAAAUUAAUUUAACAUAAUAUAAGACUUUAAUUUGAAUUUGAAUAAAAUUUAAUUGUUUGAAAACUUGUAUCCCAACUAUUACACAUUUACAUUAUAAUACAAAUCCUUAGAUUGCAAUGUCAUGCAAAUACACAUUUAAAAAUAAUAAAAUAUUUUCAGUAAUUAAAAUAAUUUAAUUGGACUAAAAAGUAAUAAGGGGUUUAAACUUAAAAUUUAUUCAAUAAAUGAUGUUAUUUGCACUCUUUAAAAUUUAGAAAACUGCAUUACCCAAUGAGUGAGAAAUAGGGUUUGAAUUGAAGAGUUGUUUUUUAUGCCCUCAAAGGGGCAUUAUCAACUUCUUUCACACAGAUCUUGUCAAGUGAAACAAAUCUCAAAUUUAUAGUUCUAAUAAAUAUUACAAUCAAACUCCAAUUUCCUUAGAUUUUUUUGGCAAGGAAUAUAUUAAAAUAUUUUAUAUUAAAAAAAAUUCUUUUAAUAUAAAUUAUGAAAAAUGUAAAAUGACAAAAAGAUUUAAAAAUAUAAAUAUAAAUUUACUAAGUGGAUUUACAUCAAUUGGAUAACAAAGAGUAAAAUUGUUGUAAAUCUUUCUAAUCAACUAAGACAAAUUAAAAUAACAUUGGCCAUUUUCCCUUUAUUCAAAUUAACUCUUGCAUCUAAAAUUGUAACGUAUAUUUUAUUUUAUUACAACUUUUUUUUAUCUCUUUUUCUCCCUUCAUUUUCUACUUCCUCUCUUUGAUAUCUUGAUCUCUUUAAUCUCUUACAUAUAGGGGUUUUAAAACUAAUCAAAUUCGAAAACCAACAAAAUAAUCGAUAGAAAGCCAAAAAUUGAUUAAACUUAUAUAUUUUUAUUUUUUUUGGAUCUAUUUUUCUUAAUCAAUGAUUUGGUUAAAAAAAAUUAAGAAUCAAACCAAAAUAUAUACUGUAUUUAAAUGUAAUUUUAUAUAUUUAAAAUUAAUUAACAAGUAUCUCUUGAAAAAUAUUUUACAGUUUAAUAUUUAUAAGAUAUUUAUAUUACCAAAAUAUGAUAUUAAAUAUAAGAUUUGUUUUUUUAAACUAUUUGUCCUAAUUGAUUGCAAGAGAAAGCAACAAAAUUGAUGAACAAAAAUAUAGAGUAUAUGAAUAGAAGCUGCAAAAAGACCAAAUCUCCAUAUUUGGUUGUUGUUCAACACCGUCAUCGCCAUUGACGAGUUUAAGGACCUUGAAACAAUCUAUUCUCCAUAUGAAUAGAUUGAUUUUUUUCAUAGCCAACUUAUUUCAAUUUCUUUGUAAAAUUAUCAAAUAAUUAAUUCUAACAAAAUAAUUCUCAAAAGCACAACUAAUGGUUGAAAAUUUUCAAAAUUCUUGUUCUUUUUGCAACUUUUCACAACUCUUAAACUUCUCCAACUUUUCCUUGGAAUUAAACACAAACUUUUUACAAUGUUUGAUAAACCUUCUAAUAAUCUUAUAGUUCAUAAAUUCCUUUCAAAUGAUACUAAAACACAAUCUUCACAAUUUUCUACUUAAUUGGGCUAGAAAAUAUCACACAACAAAGGGUAAAAUUUAUACAAAUAAAAAUAAAAUUUACCUUUUAGUUAAAUAUACUCAUCUUAUUUGUUUUUUACUUAAUGUCUCAUUUAAUCCAUUUGUCGAUAGGACAUUAAAUCAAGUGAAAUUCUAAUGGUAAAUAAAUUUUGUUGUUUAGAGGUUCAAGGAUCAUAGCAAGAAAGUUGUUGAUUUGAAGAAAAAUAGUUGCAUAGAGGACAAUAUAAUUAUUAUCAUUUAGAAGGAAGAAAAUAAUUCUAAAUUUACUUUGGAACAUGAAUGGUGACUAUAAAAAAUAUAAUAAAUGAUUUUAUCAAUAAAAAAAUCACUUAAAAAAGAAUAAAUAUUUCUAUUAACGAUGAAUAUUUUUAACUGAUACAAAGACAUCAACUUAGAUUUUAGAAAGUGACACCAUUAUGAAUCACAAUUUUAACCAGCAUUUGACUUGAAAAACAUGGAAGCUCUAAUCAGGAAAAAAAUUUGUGAACAAAAGAAAUCUAGCUACAAGAGAUAAAAAAAAACUUAAUGUCAUUGUAUGAAAUUAUGAUGAAAGGCACAUAAUAAAUGUGUGAAGAUCAAGCAACAAUAAACAUGAAGUAUGUGUAAUUACAUUAUAUACAACUUUAAUAUGUAAUUUUAUUAUAUGCAAAUUUAGUUGAUAUUUAUUAUGUUUUAAGUUGGUUGUAGUAGUCAAUGUUAGAGCAGUUAUUGCAAAUCUUAAUGUUGUAAAAAUAACAAUGGUAAAACUAAUUGUUGGUUCUAACGUUUUAAUUCCAAAAGACAUACACAUUUCUACAUUUUAUCCCCCAUUUACUUGUCAAAUGGAUUUAUUGGAAUAUAAUUUCUCAAGAAAUACUUGAAGACAACACUUGAGAAAUUUUUUUUCUUUUGACAUACUUUUUGCUAUAAAUUAUGAAGAUGAACACACUCACUUCAUUAUUAUUUCUUUCUAAAAAAAAUUAGAUGCUCUCAAUAAUCACAAUUCAUAUUUUUUAAUGAGAUUUGAUGCAAUUGGUAGGAGAGGUUUAUAUUUACUACCAAAAUGCACUACAUUAAUUCGCAUGUUAUCAUAUAUAUUACCUAUUGAUAACUUCGAUGAAUAUGUUUGAAUUGAUGAAUUGAUUCUAACUUGAUGCUUAAAGCUUUUGAAAAAUGGUGUGAAAAAAAUAUUUUGGAAUAAGUACUCAAGAAGGCCAAAAGAUAACAACAUCAAUUAUCUAAAACAAAUUAGAUAGGAUUGUAGGUCUCGAAGCAUAUUGAGCUCAAUGAAUUCUACGUAUUAAGAAUGAAAUUUUCUUUUUCCAAUUGCAUGACAUAUCGAUAAAUGUGAUUAUCCCAAAUCUAAAGUUCACGUUUCAAAAAACUUUUGAAUUUAGGUUCAAUGUGUUAAAUCUAUUAUAUGCAUUUAAUGACAGUUAGCAAAAUUCAACUUCUUCUAUGCAAUUCAUAAUAUAUGAAACCUCAUAUAAUGUUAGGACAUUAUUUAAAGAAUUGUAUUUAUACUGAUUGAGGACAUUUGUCAAGACCAUCUCAAUGUCAUCAAUAAAAAAAGAGAAAUUAUUUAUGGAAUAUCAUGAAAAGACAAAAAAAAUAUUAAAAAAAAUAAAAAUAAAUAAAUAUAUAUAUAUAUAUAUUAUAUGCUAAAAUAUUAAUGUGUACUUAUAUGUGAUGUAUGCAUAAUGACACAUAGAUAGAUAUGAUGAAUAAUCAUGUUACAUUGACAAGUAUCAUCAUUAAAGAUAAAAAAGAUAUAUAUUAAUAAUUUUAAUAUUUUAUAAUAAUAUUAUGUAUCAUGUUAUGUUCCAUUGACUUGUUAUUAUGUAUUGUAUGUAUUAGGUUGAAUAUCAUAAUUCUUAAAGAUAAAAGAAAUAUAUUGAUAAUUUUAAUGUUUUAUAAUAAUAUUAGUAAAGAAGGGAAGAGAUUUCACCUAUUCACAUAUUUAAAAGGUAAUCCUACAAACUUUGGUGAUUCUACAACCUUCACUAAAUACCACUUUUGUCAACAACUUCAAACAAAUUCGGUAGUAAUCAAAAUAACUAAUUUCUUUUUAUUUUUCAACUAAUGAUACGAAUUAAUGUUUGUGAUUAAAACAAAAAAAAAACAUUGAUAUUUUAAAUGUUAAUAAUUAAAUUUAAUCAGUGGAUAUGUAAAAGUAAUUUUUAAGUAAAGAUUAGAUUGUAGAUUCUUCAUUGGACUUACAAAAUGAAGAUCUCUCUCCCCAUGUUUUUAAAGAAUUAAAGGAAUGAAUUAAUCAAAUUUAACCUGAUAGUGUGAACAUGAUUAUAUGAUUAUGUAAUCACAUCAUUGUAUUUUGGUUUUAGUUAACCCUUUCUUGGUUUUCAUUUUGAAUUUGUUAUCUGAAAACCCCAUCCCAGUUCAGAUCUCUCCCAUAUCUUCAUCAUGUGUUCAACUGCAUAAUUUCUCUCUUCACAGUUCACACCACCCAACCUAAUCAAUUUCUUCUACAAUCCACCCAAUUUAUUGGUGCAGUAAAGAGAUAAACACCAUAAAUAACCCAAAACCAUAAUAUAUUUAAAUAAAUUAACAACAACAAAUAACACCUCAUCAAAGUUUUACAACUGUAAAUGCUCAAUAUUCCCAUUACCCAACCCACCUUUUCCAACCCAUGCCCAUCACAGAUCCAAUCUCCACCUCUGUUACGCUCCUCAUCAAACUUUUCUAUUUCCCGAUUUACCCCUCCACAGUGCCAACAUUCCGAAUAUCUCCCCACAUUGCUAAAUUCCCAAUUUACCCCAUCUUCACUUUCACUUCUUCUUGUUGAUGCCCAUGAUUCUUCGUUUAGCUCAACUUCCCUCACCGCUACCCAACCCUGUGUUUCCCAAUUCACCCUCGAUACUGUUGCUAAUUUACUAAUUCUAUUUCUAACUGAAUUUUCCUCGCGGUUAAAUUCUAACCACCCUCUUUCUUGUUCGCGGUCGUUAUAUUCUGAUUCCGCGAACUCCGACUCAACCCAGUCCAGAACGCAACGUGGCGAAGAUUCAACUACGGCGUAGGGAACCAAAAAUGGAUGCUGCAGUAGCUGAUCGCAGCUCCACCGUUCACUCCAAUUUCUUCUCAGACACUUCUCGAGAAAAUCUUUUCCCACCUCCGACAGUUUGCUAGGAAACUCCGGCAACUCGUCCGAGUAACCGAUUCGACUCAGCGUGUCGACGCCGCGAUCCUCCCACGCCGGUUUCCCGUUGACAAUCUCGAUCACCGUGCAACCGAGCGACCACACGUCGGACUCCCGCCCCUGCCGCUCCCGGCGCACGACCUCCGGCGCCAUCCACAUCGGACUCCCGCGGGGCAACAACUCCGGCGAGGCUCCGACUUCCACCGCCGCGCCGAAGUCGGCGAGUUUCGCGGCGGCGCGGUUGCCGGAGAGGAGCACGUUCCUCCCCUUAACGUCGCAGUGCACGAAGCCGCGGGCGUGGACGUCACGCAGGGCGCUCACGAGGCACCACGCGUAGCGCCUCACUGAACGCUCGUCCAAGUCAGCGCGGUCCAAAUCAGCGACGGUGCCACCUGGCAUGUACUCCAAAUGAAGGUUCCUAAACGACGCCGUUCCGCCGAGCUCGCACGUGACGUCGUCGCCAAGAUAAGCGACGACGUGCGGCGACGCCACGUUCUUCAGAAUCCGAAUCUCGUUCUCCAACGCCUCCAGCUGGCGAGGGAGCCCCGCUCCACGAUCCACGGACUUCACCGCGAAAACGCGACCAUCAGCUUUGGAAACCGCGGCGUUGACAACGCCAAACGCGCCCUUCCCGAGGCACUUGCCUCUCACCCACGAAGUCAUAACUAAAUUUUCUUCUUUGCGUUCAGUUGGAAGUGUAAAGUGUGGUAAUUGACAUUUGGGUGUGAGUUCCCUGUGGGGGUAUAUAUAAGCAACGAAGUGGGUAGUGAGGUGGUGUUUGGAUGUUUGUUAGUUCUAAUAACAUAACAUAACAUUCGGUGUUGGUUUGGUUGUACAGCGUGGCAUUUAUGAAAGUGGAUAAUUAAGAAAAAGCGGUGGUGACGUUGAGAUGGACAUCUGAAAGGUUUGGGCGGUAAUGUUUUUGAUUGUGGGAAUGAAGCACUGGACACUGUUCUUUUCUUAUUCUGAUGGAUUGGUUUUUUAAUCCUUAUCCACACCACUUCAUCAUUCAUUUUCUUUUCCACUUGUCACUCUAACUCCCCCUUUUUACUUUCUUUAUCUGUUCAAUUUACACAAUAAGCGGUUAUUUGAUGUGAUUUUAUAACUUGGGUGAGAAGAGAAGAGAAGAGAAGAGGUGUUCGGUUUUUGUUAUUAUUAUUAUUAUUACGACAUGGCAGGGUUGAUUUUGUGGUUGUGUUUUGUCGUGUUGCGUGGGAAUAUUAAUUGGAACAUGUGGUUGUGGAGGGGAAGGGAAGGGUUUCUGGUUGAGAAGUAGAUGUUAAUAGUUGGCAAAGGGGAACAGAACAGAACAUAACAUAACACGGUGGUGGUGGUGGUAAAAUGGAAGUGGAUGGAGGAGCCCCCACGUGGCGCAAAUGUGUUGGUCCACGGAGUUGUGGAGACAACGCUAGAGACUCGUAAAGAAAAUGAAUUGGGAAAUGUCUGGAUGGAGAUGCCAUGAAUGAUGCUUGUGUGUGGCUUUAGUCUCUGCAAGGUUUAGUUUAACCACAACACUGUGACGUGCACCAUCCCAAUUCCAUUCGAUUUUUUUUUAUUUGUUUAUUCGCAUUUUUAUUUGGAUGUGCAGUUUUGGAAAUUUUGUUUGCAUGUGAAGAGUUUGGACUUUGGUAAGGUCCCCAAAACUCUGAUACUAUCUCUCAGAAGAUGUUUGUGGGGUGUUCUUUCUUUUGUAGAGAAAUUGAUGGAAAAAUUGGGCACGCGGUUCCUUAUUAAGUAUGUGGCACCUGGUGUCAUCAUAUACUUCAUUUCUCAUCAUACAAUAUCUCAGUUUUUGGUUUGCCUAAUUCAGCCUAAAUUAUAGAGAGAAAACCCACCAAAACCCUACUCAAUAUCAAUGCAAUACUUCACCUUAAACAGCAAAAUCAGUGCUCUAUUCCCCAACUUUUAUUAGAUGCAAAAAAUUAGAAUAAGAUGUGGUUAGAGGUGUUUGUGGCGCGCCACUUGUGAGCGCGUAAUUGCUUGGGAGGGGCUUAGAAAUUAGUUGAACUUGACCGAAUGAGGUUUUAAAAUUGGAGAAAACGUUACGGAAAGGAAAUGAAUGUAGAAUUUGAUUGUCCACGUAAACAUGACUUUUGUCAUUGAAAAAAUAAAUAGUUUGAAAGGGAAACUAGGGAUUGAAUUUCAACAUCCAUUCCUUGAUUAUUUUAGAACCCUUUUAAAGUAGCUACUAGAAUUCUAGAACCUUGCCAUUUGGCUUGUGAAUGGGUCCAUGAAUAUGUGGCAAGAUUGGGAGGAAGGAAAAAGUGACGCGUAGGAACAUAGUUUCUUAGGAGUUUCAAUUUAGAUCCUUUGACACGAAGACACGAAGAAGAAGAAGAAGAAAAAGAGUGAAAUAUAUAAAUAAUAUAAUAAUAAUAAUAGUGUGGUUACUGGGUGAAGUACUUGGUUUGGAUAAGGUGGUGGUUAUGAGGAUUAAGCAACGUGGUUCAUGACUUGAGUAGCAUAUUGCCUCAACGCUUCAUCUACUUAUGUGACACGGUGUGUGCUGUCCACAUCUUUUCAAAACUACAUUCACCAAUACCAACUAUAUUGCAAUUCUUCCAUUUCGGAUUCAAAUAUUUAUAAGGAUUUUAGCUAAUAGAUAUGUUUCUCAACUUACAAUAUAAAAAAUCUUUCUUAUUUGGACUUGUAUUUAUUCUCUUUUUUCAACUUUUAUUUCAUCAUUAUUCUAUAUUUCACGUAUCUAGUCAAUUAUCUUCAUUAACGUUCUCACUUCUUUAAGAUGAGAUAAAUAAAUGAGAUCAUUUUUAUUAACUUUAUAGAUCGACAUUCAAACUGUUUCCUUCUGUUAACGAGAUCGACCCUUAAUCUUACAAUAACAUAAAUCAUUAUACCUCUUACACUACAAGAAAAAUCAUGAAAUAGAAACCAAUUUUUAGAGACCAGAAUAAUUAGUUACAAUGUGAACUAAAAUACAGACCAUUUUAGAAACUAAAAGAAAUGGUUUCUAAAUUAAUUUCUAUUAUUGUUAAAUAGUUUCUAAAUUGGUAUCUAAUUAGCAAUUAAGGUUUUAACUACCAAUUAUUUAGUUUCUAAAUUUGGUAGCAAAAACCUUGGUUGUUAAUUAAAUAUCAAUUUAGAAACUAUUUAACAAUAAUAAAAAAUAAUAUAAACUAAUUUAAAAAUCAAAUUUCUUUUUAGUUUCUAAAAUGGUCUCUAAUUUAGUUACUAUUGCAACUAAUUAUUUUGUUUUCUACAAAUUGGUUCCUGUGUCAUGAUUUUCUUGUAGUAUUAAUAAUAAAAUCAAUUUUGUUUCAAUCAAAUUCAAAAAAAAUUUAAUUAACUUGAAUUUGUAUGAUUUAAGUAUAACACUUCAAAAUCAAACAAAAGUUUAAUGAUUGCAAAAAGUAUAUGCAAAAGUAAGUUCAAUGUAGAAUUAAGUCUUGUCAACUACAAGAACAUUGGAUUCAUGGAUAACUUUUUAAAAGGAAAAUAUGUUUUUUUUUUCUAAAAAAAAGUUUAAUUUUAGUUUUAAAAAAGUUAUUCGUUUUUCCUUUUGCUAACUUUGAAAAACAACACUUUUGGCCUUUAAAAUGAUUUAACAGCUACAAACCAAAAUUGUUAUAAACAAGUAAUUUUUUGAAGGUAACUUCUAAGGUGAUAUUAGUUUGUGUGGUGUAUGAUGAGCGACAGUUUUGAGCUUAUGCAAGAGAAUGUGAAAAAUUGGUGGUGAAAAUGGAAGAGAAGAGAACAUUUUGGUAACGUUAGCUGAGGCAUUUGCUUUAUGCGUCCACUAUGAGUCAAAUUGAAACUAAAAACAAAGCAUUGAAUCCUUUUUUCCUUUUUCCUUUUUUGAUGUUUAAAAGGAGGAGAUAAAAGACAAUUAAUAAUCAGAAGCAAAGACGUGUAAUGCAUAUUGCUUAUCUACAAAGGAUCAGAAACCCCAAUAUGGUGCUUUCUAGCAUUGGCAUGAAAAAUACUAGUUCUAAAUUUUUGACUUCAAAAUUCAGAUAUGCAUAAAAAAUGGGUUUGUUGCAAAUUGCAAUGGGGCGGAAGUUUGUCUGGAAAGAGAGGGACAAAAGAGAGGUCAUUCAUGGUUUAUGAUGAACCCAUCUUCUGCAAAUGCAAACAAAACAUUCCAUAUUUUCUGCUCACCAUGCAAACAUCACGUUAAUCAUUCCCUUUUUUUUCUAUCUCUCUUAUUUAAACACUUAAAUUACACCCACGCAAAUUAUGAUUUAUUUUUUUUAUUAUUUUGUUUGUGUCAACUUCGUCGAUGUAUACUGACUUUUUUUUUGUGUUGAUUUGAUCGACAAUUUUUCAUCUUCAUUUACAUUAUCAGGUUGACGAUAUUCACAUUUGUCUCACGUCGGCUUGAUCUACACCAUUUAUGUUAUUUUCGUUGACUGACACAAAUUAAUUUUGUUUCCACAUUUUUCUCGUCGACUUUUGGUUGACGCAUAGUCAACAUUUAUUCAUCGGUUUUCUUUUAUUUGCAUCCAUUUUUUUAUCGAAGUAAAAUAUUUUUUUUUUAGUAUGAUCGGUAUUUCAUAACAUAAAAAAAGGUUUUCAUAUGAUAAACAAAUAAAAUAUCUUAAAUAUCAUUAGAGUUUUUCUUGAAUAUGGAAUUUUACUUUUAUCACUAAUAGAAAAUCAUUAAAUAAAAACUAAUUUUAAAAAUAAAGAAUAAUUAGUUAAUAUAUUGAUUAAAUUAUAUAUUAUUUUAUAAACUAAAAAGUUAUUGGUAUAUAAAGUAAUUUAUAUUAUUAAUAAAAUUUAUAAAUUAAUUUUUAUUUGAUAUUUAAUUAAUUACAAAGAUUUUAGUUAUCAACUACUUUCGAUUCUAAAAUUGGUAACUAAAAUCUUGAAUUUAGUUUUAAUAAUUUUCUUGUAAUGUAUAAUUUGUAUUGUAUUGCAUAAAACAUCAUCCAUGUACAUUUUGAUAUAGUAAGUAAGUUUUUUUUUUCUUUUUUAGAGAGUUAUUAUUUUGAGGUGAUUUUUUUUCUCUUAAUAAAGCAUUGUAGUUUCCUAACUUUUUUGGGUUCAAAUAUUUUAGAUUAACCUUCUUAUAGAUAAUUGAAAAUUUUGACUAAGAUUUGCUUAGCUAUGUCAUGCCUAGCAUAAUGAACCUUCUAGCAUUGGUAUUUUCAUAUCACUCAUAUACCUACUCUUCUUUAGUCUAAAAUUGCUCCACGUUUUAUCAUGUAUCUUAAUAUGCGUCACAUUAGUUAGAAAUACUAUUAAAAAAUUUGUUUAUAAGAUUUGGGUGAUCUUUUUCUUAGAUUAGUAUAUUGAUUGAGAUAGGGUAUAGUAUUAAAAUAUGCCUUGUCUUGUAUAAGAGGAACACAUUGUUAGCAUAUGUACACUCUUGUGGUAUCCACUAUUCUUUCAGAGUUAGUACUCUUAAUUUCACAUUUUUCUCUAAUUAUAAUAUAAAAAAAAUAGGGAUCUUAUGAUUUUUUUUUAUUUUAAAUUGAUCUUAGAAACAGUUAGAUAAUGAAGAGAGUAAAGAGUUUUUAAUCGGUUAUAAAAGGAUCAAUGUAAAAAAUGUCCUUUUCAAUAUUGAUUUUACAAAAGCUAAAAUGAACCAUAUAUGAGAGAUGAAUUAGAUCUAGAACAAUGAUUAUUUAUAAAUUUGAUUUUUAUUUAACGAUUAUUAGAUUGAACAAUGUAAAAUAUUAUAUUUAUACAAGUGAAAAUGCAUUCAUCAAGAUUUUAAUUAAUGAAUUAAAUCAAAUUUGAUAAUGACUCUUGUUUUUAAGACGGAUAUGCCCUCUAAACAAAACACUAAUAUGGUCCAAAGUAAAUUUGAUAUAGAAUAAAAUUACGAAGACUAAUGCGUAAUUUAGACAAAAAAAAUGGAAAAGUAGGCUGAUUUUGAAAUGCAAAAAUGUCUAUAAUAAAAACAAAUUUCAAUAAUUUGACAUUACAUAAAGCAGCAAAAAGUAAAGUGGUGAACAUUUAAAGUUAAAAUAAAUUUAAAAUGUAAAAAUUAUUUGAAGUAUAAGAACAAGCAAGUAGGAGAAAGAAAAAUAUGCAAUCAGAAUUUCGCGAAUCAGGUUUAAUUUAAUCUUUGAAAAUAGAAUCACUAUUAAAAUAUUUUUAAAAGUAAAAAAUCAUCUUAAUUAGUUUUAUGGUUAAAUUCAAUAUGUUAAAGCUAGCACUUCUAUUAUAUAAUAUAUAUUGUUUAUUUAGGUGAUGAUUAACAUUUUUAAAAGAUUUAUUCCCAACCAUAUAAGAGAUAUAUUUAUAUAUUUGUAUCUAUUUUAAACUAGCUAAACCAUUUAAUCAAUAUAUUUUUAUCCACUUUAUAAUACAAUGGACCAAAACUUGCAUAUGAUAUAAUACUGGAUCAUUUUAUAAUUACAAUAUAAAUUUUUAUCAUGUUUUGAUAAUUAUAAUUGCAUGGUACUUAUACAGUAUAAUUAAAUUGUAAAAUAAUCUUUAAGAGAUACAUUGGUACAUGUUUCUUAAUUAUUUAUUAACUCUAUUUCAUAUAAUAUUACAUUUAAAUACAAUAAUAUUACAUUUAAAAAUAUUGAGUUUUGAUUGAUUUUUUUAUUGGUUCCGUUUAUUAAUCAAUUUUUUUACAUUGUUGGACUUGUUGCUAAAACCCAUGUCAUAACUUGGGUCCAGCUAGCUUCACCAUGUUCAAGCUAAUGCUUCUCAUUCAAUUUUGUUAAGAAAGUAAACUAAUAAAAAUACUAAAAUACUCAUUAAAUCAUUGUAUCAAACUUUCAUCUGUUUUAUAUAAACUUUAAUAUUUUAUUUUAACAAAGGCUAUUUAUAAAGUUAUAGUUGGUUAUUUUAAGUUAUAUUUUAUCCUUUUUGAGUUAUAUGAAUAUGAUGGGUUAAAUGGUACAUUUUGUUAUCUCUACGUAAAAACAACAGGUUUGUAUUUAAAUUUCAGAACUCAAUCGUUAUUAAUUCAUGCAAUGAAUCGAGUGUAUUCAUUGAAUUGGAUUCAUUUUUAUACCUUUAAAUGUGAUUAAGAUAAAUAAAAUAAAUUCAAAUUUAAUCUUAGAAGUGUUUUAUGAAAUUAGAAAUACCUUAGAUCAAAAAGUGAUAAAAUAUUCAUUUAUUUAAUGACUUAACAUUAUAUUUCCAUUUCAUGUGAUAUUUAAUUAUUUUAUCAAGGAGUUGAUGUGUUGAAACAUGACCUAAGAAACAAGAUAUUCCAAUAAACUACACCUCAAAUUUAACCUAUCAUUUUGAAAGAAAAUUACAAUGAAAUAAUGAAUAUUUUUCAUAUAUUUGUGUGUAUUAUACAUGAAAGACAUUUUAUCUUCAAUAUGUUUUUGUGAGGAUUGGUACUUUUUGAAGUAUAUAAAUAGGAAUUAGGAGUCAUAUCCUUCCAAAUUCGUUUAAAGUAGUAUUACGUACGCAUUGUUUGUAUACAGGUGAUUAUUGUUCAUCCAAAAAGAAAAACAAAUAGUUUUCCUAUUUGAAUCUUCUAAUUAGGGAAGAGUGGUUGGCAUAGAAAGACAAAGAAAUAUGUUUUAGGCUUUUUGGGUGAAGAGAUACAUUCAAUCAAAGAUUGCUUUUACCAUCUUAACCUUUACUUUUUCACUCAAGUACACAAACAAAAUCAUAAAUUAGAUAUUCUUAUACUCAAUUUUUUGGAGAAUGGAUAUUUGAGUAUACCAUAAUCGGUUUUACAUAUUUAAUGUGAGGGAUAAUCAACAUGUAAAAUCGAUUAUCCUUAUAUUUUUAAAUAAUUAUUUAUUUAUUUUUUUAUUUUAUUUUGAUGUAUGUAAUUUUGUGAUUUGAUUUAUGUAUAUAUGUAAUGUUUUUAUUUAUUUAUUGAGUGAAUAAUUAUUUAAUUUGUUUUUAUUUUUAUUUUUAUUUUGAUGUACGUAUAUAAAAUAUAUAGUGAUAAUUAAAUAGAGUUAAUUAUCAAAUUAAAAUUUGUUCAUAUUUAACUUGUAAAAUUGAUUUUCAUAAAUAUAAUAUAAAUAAGGAUAUUAUUGAAAAAAGUUUAUAAAUAUUAUUUUGAAUUUAUAAAAUAAUUAUAAGUAUAAAGAAUAUUUAAAUAUUUAAAAAUACUACUUUACUGAUACUUUACAUAUAAUAUUUAAUUUUAAAAAAUCAAGUAAAAAAACUUUAUAAAUAUUAUUUUGAAUUUAAAAAUAAUUAUAAGUAUAAACAAUAUUUAAAAAUUUAAAAAUAUUAUGUUUUCAGAUAAUAUUUGGAAAAUACUACUUUACAUAUAAUAUUAAAUUUUAAAAAAAUAAAGUAAAAAUCUACUCCAUCAUAGUAUGAAAAAAUAAUUGCUCCAACACAAAAAAUAAUCUUUUAAUUACAUAAACUAUAAUUUCAUAAAUAAAUAAUCCACAAUUACAAUUUUUUUUCUAAAUAAGAUUUUUGAAACAUGAUUCAAAAAAUUUUUUUUUUUUCGAAAUUAACUCUAACAGAGUACCGGAAAUAUUGUUUCAAUAUCGAAAAUAAUAUUUUAAUUUAAAACAAUUAUAAUUCAUAAAUAAUCAAAUCAAAAUAAUUUUUCUAUAAUUUUUAAAUACAGGGACAAAUGUGUAAACUUACAUUUUUAUCAAUUAAAAAAAUAUAAUUUUAAUCACACCAUCCCUUACAACUUUCAUAAAAAAAUUUGCUACAUUUUCUCUUUAUUUACCUUAAUUAAAACAAUCUUAUUUUUUUCACACUUUUCUUUUAAAUCAUCUUAAAUUUACUCUCACAAAUUCACUACCUAAUCCAAAUAAUCCAAUCAAAACCAAGAAAAAUUGAUAGAUUUUGAAUUUAUAGAAGGAGAAGAGAUAAAUAAUUGACAUAAGUACUAUACAGAAAUAAGAAGCAACAUGUAAAUUAAGUUGGAAUGGUAAGAUAUCAUUACUCAUUAAUGUAACUUGACUUUAUUAAACUGUUUUCUUACAAUAAUACUUUUACUCUCUCUGGUUUCUGCUCUGAGAUUUAAUUAAACACUCACAAAAUUACUUAUAUAUAUAUCCUAAUCAUUGCUUCAGUUCUCUCUCACAGGCUUAACAGGGGAAGGCUUUUCUUCAGACUUCACCCAAAAUCUUGUUAUGAACGCAAGUUAUAUUCCAACAUGAACAUCAAGUUUUUACACGGUUGAAUGGGUCACCUUCAUAUAUUAGACUCAUAUGUGCUUCAUUUCACACUAGUUCAUAUUCCUAAUAUUUUUUCUUCAUUUUACUUUCGCAAACAUCUACCUACAUAUAUAGUAUAAUGAGUCUGCAACACCUAGUUGCUUGCAGUGGUUCAUUCAUAAAAAAAAAAAAAACUUAGUAAUCAUUUUUCUUACCAUCUUCUUAUAUACCAUUUUCUUAUAAAUAAAUGAUACACCAUGAGCAUUAUAAUAAAGCAGGUUCUUCCAAAACUACUAAUAAUAAUCCAAAUAAAACACAACGUGCAUGUUUCACAACAAUUAAUAUAUGAUCAUAAGAUGACUGAUUCUCCUCUGAAACAAUCAAAAUGAUGAAAGGGUUUAGUAUUCGCCGUAUGACAGGGGAUACAUACAUGCACAGUGUUGGUUGGUGUUGGACUUUGGGGUUUGGUUGCAUGCACAUUCCCCUUUUCUCAAACCAUUCUGACAUCUCUAAUAUACGAGGAUCAUCGAACAAAAGGUCAUUUGUUUUGUUUGGACUUGGAGAGUGCCCAAGAUAACAGACACAACACUUCACAAACAAACACGUUGUUGUGCCUUCCGCGAAGGAUCCCCCCAACAACAACGUGUCAUGUGCUGUGCAUGUAAGUCAAUCUCAAGUCAAGCCACAAUAAAUUUCUUAUUGUCACCAUCAUCUCUUCAUUAUUGUCAACAUCCCCAUAUUAAUGUGACUCGAUUCUCCUAUUAUUUUUUAUGUUGUAUGCUUGUAAUAGAAAAACACUUAGCCAUUGCUGUUACAUUACAUCAGCUGUCGUUUUUUUUUUCAAUUCGGUGGUCGGCACAACGCGUGGUCAGUGGUCGCAAUGGACAAGAAACUUGGUCGGUCCACUUCUGCUAACGGUGCUGCUUGUAAGUUGUUACAGAUUAAUAAUAACGUUCACAUUAGUUUUCACGAGAAAUUUAUAUAAAAUAAUUUAAUUUUUCUUAUGCUAAAUUAAUUAAGCAACCAAACCAAGCAACCACCGUCCCAAGCUUUUUUACGGAGUCAAACAUUUGAGAAACGAAAAACAAUCUAGGAAAUUGGUGAACAAAACUCUUACUUCAAGUUCGAGAUAUGUAAUAGGGUCGAUCACCGUAUUUAGAGUAUUAUUUGUUUUUUACGAACCCGAGAGAUAGAUUGUUAGAUCAAUUAUUACAUCUAAAAUAUUAUUUGUUUUAAAUAUCAGUGUUCUGUCACGAUUUUGUUAUUAAAAUAUGUCUCAACAUGUUUGAGAAAGAAAGAGUAUAUAAACUAUAUUGAUGGUAUUAUAAAAAAAAAAUUGAAAGAAUAACGGUUCUGGUAAAGAAAACCCUUAUAACAAAAGUGUGUUACUUCCUGAGUGUUUUUUUUUUCAAUUUUAAGGGGUUUUUAAACAGUUAAUAAACUACUCACGAGUCAAGGUCCAAAAAGUAUUAGAAAAUUAAUCUAACGUGUAGUGAUAAGAAAAGUGAACAGGGUUUAAUAACAAUCAUGCUUUUCACAUGAAUCAAGAGUCUGUUUUAUGAAUAAAAUAAUAGAACAGUGAAGGUCUUUCCGUGACUCAAGUAUGAGCUUAUUAAAGUAUCUGUAUGCAGAAGUAAGCCUUUUCAUUAACUAAUUGGACACAGUAUGGAAAGAAAUCUGUAUAAUACAAAGCACACGAUUCAUGAACAUCUACCUAACUCAAUUUUACCUUAUUAACUUCACAAAUGAAAUAAAAUAGUUUGCAUGAAUCUCAACAUAACGAUAGCAGUUGUAAAUGGAAUCAUAUUCACGUUUUGGAAGCAACAUUGGUAACAAAUUAAGGCCCAAAACUAUUGAUAGGAAUAACUCUCAAAUGCUGAAAAACUCUCAAAUUCGCAAGUCAGAAGCUCACUAUUCAACAUCUAACUAGAUUAGGCUGACAAAGUCAUAGAAAGAAGACUAAUUUGGCCACCUAAUAAAUUAUAAGACAGGUUCAUUGAUUGAAUCAUUCCACAAUUUGCAUUCAUGUGAUCAUCGCAAAUUUAGUUUAAUAAAUGAAUUGCCAAAACAAUAAUGAUAAUAAUAAUGUAUGGUUAUUACAUUAAUCAUUCUAUGGUAAAAAAAAUUACUAAAUGUUGUUGUUAAUAUCCCUCCCUAUUCAGGUACAAAAAAUUUCAAUAAUGUCGUCAGAUUUAUAUGUACAGAAAAAAAUUGGUUACUCUAUCAGGCACCUCCUCCAACCUCAAUGGGUAAAAAACCUGAUGCACUACCUCCUUCUUCUGUUGCACAAACGAAACUCUAAACAUAGUGUUCUAAUUUGAUUAGCAUAACGCUUGUAUCAUCCAUAGAGCCUCGUGAAACAGACAAAUCUACAAGCUUUUUACAAGCCACCAAUGGUUGUGAUUUGUUGUUGCCCACAAGAAAAGAACGAGCAAUGUCCACAGCUUCUUGAUUACUAACCUGAAAGGAUGAGAAAGAUAAACUUGUUCAGUGAGUUAAUCACUCAAUACAUGAGAAACAAAAUUGAACAAUACUUUUCAUGAAGAAACUGUGAACAUAUAUCAAGUUCUAUACCUUAUCCCAUAGUCCAUCUGAAGCUAAGAUUAACAAGUCAUGUUCAGGUUCAAUUCUGAGAACUUUGGUCUCAGGUUCUGCUGUCACCCAUUGUUUCAGGUGUCUAUCUCCAAUUCCCCUAGACACUGCAAGAGAUCCCUGGAUCCUCCAAACUCCGCGGCAUAAAUCCACAUAACCACCCUACAAGAAAAAUUCCCAUACUUAAGAACCAAACAUCCAAAUCCAAAUUCAAACAUUUUGAUGUUCAUAACAGAGAAAUAACUAUCACACUCAGAAGCUUACCAGGUUCUCAAUUCUGUCCCUUUCAUCUUCCCUUGAGGGCCUGUGAUCGGAUGUUAGGGCUUCCGCAACACCCCCUCUGCUAAUGACAGCACGGCAAUCACCGGCGUUGGACACAACAAGGUUGCCGUUCCUGAUCAAUGCUGUCACACAGCAAGAGCCACCAUGGAGAUCCUUCUUCAGGAAAUCUGAGUCUGUGUUGAGGUACCCACGCUUCACUGCCUCCUCAACAUCAUCUUCAUCUCUCACAAUCACCUCAUCUAAGAUAUUCUUUUCUAAGUUAUUUGCAGCAAAUUCCGCAGCCUUUGCACCUCCGUGCCCAUCAAAUAUGCCAAAAAAAGCCUGUCAGGAUCACAAAACAAAAUCUCUGGUUAGAUUUAAUUCCACUCACAUCAAGUAUAAUCAUCAUCAUGAGCAUAUUAAUCAAUCCUCAAUUAACCUCACACUCACUGUAAUUUUUUUCCCUGUGAAAGAACUUCUUAACUUCAAAACAUCAAAUUCUAGGCUUUAUCUCUUUAUUACCUUUACCAAUUUCCAAUAGAAGGAUCAUUAAAAACUGAGUAAGUAAAUCACAAUUCUCCAUUACAAAUUCAUAAAACCAACAAAAACAAAAAGAAAAGCUCUCGGUCAUUCAAAUUCUUUAACAAGUCAAGUCAAUCAGACCCAGACCAAAUUCAGAUAAAAAGUUUCAAACUUUCCACAACCCCAGUUCCUGAAAACACCUCAUAAUCAUAACCAGACGAUCUCGAUCCCAACCCACAUACCCCAGCCCCAAAGCUUCUUUGAAAAAAAGAAAAAUUUCUUACCAGUUUGUGUUGACCGCGUAGAUUAUCCCCAGCGGUGUAACGAUCCUCCAUGUACUCCCUCCUCCCUCUCUUGCAGUAGACCCCAAAGCCAUCCUCCUCCGACUCGACGACGUCACGCGCCGCAGCGGAGGGCGUGGGCGGAACCCCGAAGGUGAGAGAGGAAACGGGUAUGUCGAGCCUGGCGGGUCGCUUCCUCUUCAAAAUGGUGCCGUUGGGGGAGGUGGAGGAGGCAGAGGAGGCAGAGAAGACAGAGGGAGGCUUGGGAAGGCGAAGGCGAAAGGGGGAAGAAGGAGAGGAGGAAGCAGGCGCAGCAGAAGGAGAAGAGCAAGAGGAGGCGGUGUUAGUGUUGGAAGGCUUGAGGUGGGAGAGGGAGAGCGAAAGGGAUUCGGGCGAAGAAGAGAUGAUGGAAGGCUUAGAGCAGAAGAGAGAAGAGGAGGGAGAGAAGACCGGCGAAUUGGAAACCGCGACGGAGCAAGACAUGGCCGUGUUGAGUCAAAAUUCAAACGUUGGAAUUGGUCUUUUGUGUGUGUUUGUGUGUUGUGAUUUUGUUUGGGUUUUGUGUGUUGUUGUUGUUGUUGAUGAUGAGAGAGGUUGAUAAGGGAGGGUGAGAUGUAUAUAUAGGGAAAAGAAUAGAAUGUUGUUUCUGGGUCAGAUUGGAGUCAGUGUGGGACCACCUCUUUUUUGCGUGUUAUUUGCGAGUUAUAUUACACACACAACACAACACAGCUAUCACACUCAAUUUUAAAACGUUCUUUGACCAUCUUCUUUCACUUGUGCAAACUCCAUUUUGCCCCUCCCUUUUUUUCUCCCUCACCUUUUUCUUUUUCUUUUAUGUUCUUGCCUCUCUUCAAAAAAACUCUAAUAGUAAUAGGUCAAGACUCUUCAAAAAAAUAUCAUCAUCAAAAUUCAAAAAUAAAUCAGUAUCUAUUUUUAAAAUGUGUUUUAGUAAUUCAGAAAAAAAUAGUAUUUUGUAAUUUAGAUCAAUCUAUUCAAUUAAAUGAGAAUUGAGAUAAAUUCAUCUAACAAUUUGGUUAUCUCAAAUACUAUCUCUUACAUUACUUUAUUAUAAACUAAAUUAUGUGACAAUAAUCAUUAAUUUAUAUAUUGAUCCUAUUUUGUUAUAAAUAGAGACACCUUAACUUCUUCUUCAUACCUUAUAGUUACUUCUGAUUAAUAUUUUAUUUUUUAUUUUUUUAUUUUCAUUCACAAUAAAAGAAACAUCAACCAAAGUAAAUAAUUUCACUUCAAGAAAAAUUCCAUUUUUUUUGUUUAAAUUUGAAUUAGAUUAUAUUGAUAUUGUAAAACUUUAUUCCAUAAAUUAUUAAAUACAUGUACGAAUUUUUACAUUGAUAAUAUAUACCAACUAAUUUACUUUAUUUGUUGAGAAACAAGGCGUAAUUUUAAGUAAAAUAAGUGCGUAAUUUUUUUUUUCACAACUAAUGACGGGAUUUUGCAAAUAAUUAUAGAAUUGGGUUGAAUUGAGUUAAAUUUUUUUUUAUAUGAAGUGCUAAAGUUCAAAUAUAGUGGAAAAAAUAUAAUCAAGGGAAUUUUUUUUAUUAAAGUGAGACUAGUAAUAAGGUGGUUAAAUAUUUUGUAUAAGUAAUAAUAUAAUGAUAAAGGAAAAUGAAAGUAUUGAAAUUUAAGAUUUUUUAAAGUUAUUUAAAUUAACUUUUUCUUGAUAUUUAUUGUAUGCAUUCAACAAAGGAAAAGGUAAAUAGAACAAAAGUCUAAUUUGAAUGUUGACUUUAAGGUGUGUGUAUUGAAGACAUUUUAUCUUUAAGCAAAGAAAAAAAAAGGGUAGGAAUGUAAUUUGGAGAAGUGGAAGUGGGGUGAACUAGGCAAGUAAAAGGUGGAUUCAAAGAAUAAAAAUGAAUUAAAAAAAAAAUUGUAAUAGGAAUGUUGAAAGAGUGUGUUUUGUUUUGAUUUGAGGUUUGACUUAACCACUGUUACAACACUGUUUCUAACCCUAAUCUCCUUCAUUCUCUUUCUUCAUUGCAUCAUUCAUUAGGCUUUGUUUGGGGGUGUGGGGCCAGAGAGAGAAGCACGUUCGAAGAAGUUACCGUUGGAGAGAGGACACCACAGAAACAGAAUCAGAAACAGACACCAUUUAUUAUUGUUGUUAUUUGCUUCUUUGGCUUCAUGACCGUUGUCAUCUUCAUCACUUCUCAACCAACUCAUUUCCCAACGUUAACAAGUUUUCUUCACACAGUUUUCUUAAAACGUUUCUUAAGCUUCCAAUGGUUGGAACUCCAACAUGCAACGUUUUUGUUCUUUUUUUAAGAAUUCAACUUGCAUUUAAUACUAAUUAUCUCUUAUUAUAUAUUAAAAUAUAUAUGCUACAAAAAUAUAACUUUGAAAUGAUCAUUAAGUUUAAGAACUUGUUUGAUAUCUCAUGCUAAACUUCAUGGGAGGAGUAUUAUUAACAUAUGUCAUUUUAACAAUUAACUAGUUAAUUAACAUAAAUCACUAGUUAGAGAUGAGGAGAUAUAGCAAGUUUCAAUCCUCUUGUUGUUACUCCAUAUAUCCAUAUAAAAGAAAGUAAUGCAUUAUUAAAAUUUAUUAGAAAUUAUAAAACUAUAAAUACCAAAAGUAAUAUAAAUAUACAAGAACAAAAUCGAUAAAUUUUAUUAUAUCUUAAUCAACUUUUUAUCUUAAUUAAGAAUAGUUACGAGUCGAAAUUAUACGUGUUGUAACUUACUAUUAGUCAACAUAAUAGAACUCAAUUUGUUUAUUAAGAACAUGAUAUAAUUUUCUCUAUUAGAAGAACCAAUAUAAAAAUCACUAAGUAUUUUUCUCUUUCCUUAUCUUCCUUAUCUUGUUAAAAUUACAUGUUAUUAUCUUUGUACUAACUUAAGAAAGAGGAGCUUUUGACCCUAAUUUUUUGAGAAGUUUUUUAAUUGAUUAUCCAUCAAGUAUAACAUUAUGACCCGCACACAUAUUAUUAGACUAUAUUUGUGAAAAAUGCAGAAAAAAAAAUUUAAAACAUAAUUCAACCAUUUCUUCUUAAAUUUUACAAGUUUUUCACCCAUUUGAAAAAACCUUUUAUUGUAAAAAAAAAUCUUCAUUAUUUUUCUCAAUUGUUUGACUCAUUCAAUAUCCAUUAAGUUCAUGGUAUUUUAUCUCUCAACAUAACCAAAAUUACACAUUUUUUUUUGUACAAGUUGUUUAAAGAUGGCAAUAAGGCAUGACAAGUGUGGGUUUCACUAUCCUUAGCCCCAAAAUAAAAAUUCAUCAUCAUUAAGUAACAUGUAUAUCUACUCACUAAUCUUUAAUCUCCAUAGGUAUUAUCUGAAUUUGUCCUCAUUUUGAAGAAAAAUCUCCAACUAAUUGGGUGGACAUUACCCAAAAAAAUUUAAAUUAGGUAUGAGGAUGACAAUGAGUAUGUGCAUAUUCGCUUCAUCCCUCAUACUAGUCCUCAUUUUAAAUCACUAAAAUACAUUUAAUUUAUUAGAUAACCUAAAAACUUUAUAUUAAUUUUUAUUUUGUCCUUAGUAGUUUAUUUUUAUACAUUUGAUAAUUUUCACUCUUUUCUAUAAUUAUUUGACAUUUACUCCAUUAUCAUUUGAUACUUUGAUUUGAAAUUUAUGCAAUUAUAAUUUCUUUGUUGAUAUUUAAGUAAAGAAAAAGUGUAUUGUUUUGAAAUUGAGUAUUUGAUAAUAUCAUGUUUCCUCUUAUAUUUGAGUAUUUCAUCUUUUUUAUUAACAAAUUUUAAAUAUAAAAUUUUACUUAAAACUAAAUUUAAUGUCCCUCUUAAAAAUAAAAGAAAAUAAAGAUCAUAUUACAAUAAUGGAUAAGUGGGGUAUGAUUAUUUUUUGCAGAAAAAAUAAAAUAAUUAUUUUUCAUUCAGUAUCCCGCUCUAUGAGAUGGAACUAAGCGGUUAGAUUACUGAGUCCGUCCCGCACAUUUUGGUAGCAGAGCAUUUUGGUAACAGACACGCAUGACCCAUCUUGCAUUGUCAUCCCUAAGCAUACUUGAGGGUGGGGAUUAGAAAGAAAAGCAUGUAUCAACCUCACUUUAUUGUCAUUCCUAAUCCACAUUCCUACAAGUCCCCUUAUUAUUCCAAUUAUUAAUUAAAUAUUUAUAAAAAGAAUAAAAUUUAUAACAAAGAAAACAUAUUAUUAUUGAUUCAAUGUUAAAAUGAAACAUUUUCUUUUCUUUAAAGUAAAAUAUCAAUAUAGGAAAUUUUUUAUAUUGAAACAAAUGUUCUUCAAAUGAAAUUAAAUUAAAAGUAAAAGAGAGUAAAUAUAAGUAAGAGUUUAUGGAGAAACAAAUAUUCACAUGUAAAAAAAUAAAUAAUGAAAUGUUUAUCUAUUAAACUAUUUCAAUCAAUAAAAUUGGAUUUUUGUUUCGUGAAAAGCAAUAUAUUAUUCGAACAAGAUCACGCAAAAAAAAUGUGUAAUAAAGGAUGGGACAAAGGGGAAAAGUAUCAUAUAUUUGAGUGAAAUUUGUGGAUAAAAAACAAGUUAAAUAGUUAAGAAAGAGAAUGAAAAAUUAUCUAGAUAAAAAAAGAGGGAUUUUGAAACAAAAAUUGAAGACUAAAGAAAAAACUAAACAUAAAUUUUUUAGUUUACAAAAUAAGUUAUUAGUAUCUUAAUAAUUUAAAAUAAAGAUAGGUAUGAGGACUAGAAUGAGUACAAAACAUUGUAUAAUUUUGUUAAAAUUUAUCUAGUUAUAAUUUUGUUCUUACAAUUUGAUAAUGUGUAUCAUAGAUAAUAUCUUAUUUUUUAUUUUCACUUAAUUUUUCAUUAGAAAAAUAUUUAAAUAACAUUUGAGAUUAUGAUUGUUAUGAACAUCUUGGCAGAUUGGUAAUUUGUGAACUUUUUCCCCUAAAUGUCAUUAUACGGAAAAUGUCAUCUAAUCAUGUUGAUAAGGGAUAUUUUUUAACUUGAUAUUUUCUUCUGAAGUUGAAAAGAGAAAUAGAAACUCUUUUUCAAUACUUUUACUCUAGCUUUUUCAUCUUCUCGAUUAAAUACAGAAGUAGAUCUUUAUUUUAUCUUUUUAUUUUAUUUUUUUAGGGAAAAUGAUUGUGGUGAUUUUCAAUUUAAAAAUAAAACAAAGAUCUAAAGAAAAACAUAAUAAGAUUUUGAGUAAAAUUUAUGAAAAAGAAAAGUAGAGAUGGGAAGAUGUAGGGAAAAUGAUUGUUGUGAUUUUCAAUAAAGGAUGAAAUACAACUGCCCACUUUGUCAAAACCAUGUUGCAGAGAACUCUUUCGGAAGAGUGCAUUAAACAUAGCACAACACCGAUACACACUAUCCCUGCUGUUUAGAAAACAUAUAAACAAACUCUGUUCUUCAAAGGGUUACACAAAAACAAAAACAAAAAACAAUCAUUAGUUUAUAUUUUCAAAUUAGAAAUACGAGAAGAAAAUUUGACUUAAAACUAUGAAAUUUCAUCAAUAAAUCAUUAUUUUCUGUCCAGACCCUGAUUUCAUAUAACAUCAAUUUCAACAUGUAAUGGAAACAUUUUUGUGAAGUACAGGUUCAAAUAAACGUGUUGCAAUAAGAAUAUACCAAAGGUUCUAUCAGAUGAAUUAGUCAAAAAAGUUCCUUAUGAAUGUCGUUGUUACGUAGUCACAUAGUAACAGAAGGAAAGGACCGAAAGAAAGGAAUAGACAAAAAGAAGAUACCUUGUUGACCUAGUUUACAAAUAAAGUUCAGACCAAAUUAAAUUACUAGGAAUAAACUAAAAGUAAAUUAAAGCACUCCUUUAAAAUUAACUUACAUCCAAACACCCUCCAACAAAUUAUGUUGAACAAAACUCUAUAACUGGUAUCAAAUUCUCGAGAAUAAUUUUACAAAUUAUGUAUCUAACUUCAUAUUUAGAAUUCUUUAUCAACGGACUAAAAUAGUGAUAUUUUGCUCUAACAGAAAGCAGGUACAUCAUCAGCACGGAAAAUUCAUUCUCAUCCACAGCAGUUUUCUGCUGUGUAGGAAGGUGUCCUAAGAUUCUUCCAAUUUCAUCACAUGAUGUAACAAACACACAAAGAGAUCUUCAAAGCCACAAACAAAUUCUUAAGCAUUUAUGCAUUGCCUAUGUCAAAUAACAUAUGAAAAUAAGUGCACAAACGAAAAUCAAUUCGCAUCAAUGAUUAUGAAAUUAUAUGAAGACUCAGAUAAAGUGUAGGAUUAUAUAUUUUGCUUCAUCCAAAUCUAACAAAGUUCAAACCACGAUACACAUCAAAGUGAAGGUUUUCUGAACGCAAAUCUCUAAUUUUGUUUCCCGACGUCCAAUUGCAGCAUCAAAAUUGCCACAUUGGAUAGCGAGGGGAACGCACAUCUCGGCUUCAGUUUAAGAUUGCCAAACACAUACAAAAACGUGCAAGCAAAAAUCUCAUAAGAAAACAGAAGCCUUUCAAAUGAACAAAAAAAAUAAUGCACAAAACAAAAUUAUCAAAUGGAAAUCUAGGAGAAACACAAGAUAACUCAGUCCCUUAGAUGUUCAAAUAAUGUUUACGAUCAUACCCGCAAAUCAUUACAGGUCUGUAGGCUCAUCACAGUUAAAAAUAGCAUAAACCCAAUUACAGAACCGACCAGAAAACAAAAACUAAAAUAACAGGGAAAAUAUAAUUUCAGAAUGAAAUUUAAUUUAGUUGAUCCAAUGUCCUCCCACAACCAAGGGAUUAUGGAACAGAUAAAAAAGAACAACACAUACACUAUUGCUUCUAGGGAACGAGUCCAAAGGGAAUUGAAUUAAUCCACAUUGACCAGAUAAAGAAGCUAUUUUGAAAUGCUAACUCCAAAGUGAAAACCAACUAAAUGAUGAAAAUGCUAAAUAAUUGAUAAUUGUACGAGAAGUAUCUCUACCUGGCUACCUGUAUAGUAUUCUCAGUCCCAAAGUCAAAAAAAAAAUAAAAAAUCAUCAUUACUAACUUAACAUCAUCAUUUAACCUUUUCAACAUUUUAGAAAUAAAUAAUUGUUUGCUUUGAAAGUACUGCCCAAUGUAUACCAAAUAACAAAAUAAAAGCAUUAAUUUCGAAAAAACUUCAACCCACGGACUCAAAUAAGAAUGAAGUGUUAACAAGAAAAAAUUAUUCAAAUUCUACCAUAAAUCCUAAAUUUCUGCAUUCAAACAUCCGUAAUUAUUUCUAAUUUUAAUGGCUAAAAAAAAUCUUCUAUUCACAUAAGAACUGAGUACAUCAUCAGUAUGGAAAAUGCAUUCUCAUCCACAGCAGUUAUUUGCUGUGUAGGAAGGUGUCCUAAGAUUUAUCCAAUUUCAUCACAUGAUGUCACCAACACAAAUAAAGAGAUCUGUAAGGCCACAAACAAUAGAGAAAUUUUCGCAUAUGAAUACAAAAGGAUCCAAUCUGUUUGUAACAAAAACAAAAAAUCAAUAACAAAAUUGCAACAAUGCAUAGCGAAGGUAACACAGAUCUCGAUAUCAAAUAAACAACACAAAAAAUUUAAAACAAGUGCAAAAUCGAACGAAAAUUGACAACUCAGUCCCUUAGAUGUUCAAUUGUGUUUGCGAUCAUAGCCGCAAAUCAUUACAGGUCUGUAGGCUCAUCACAGUUGAAAAUAGCACUGCCAAAGUUAUCCAAUCGACGAAAAACAGACAACACAAACCAAAAUUUUAGUAGAAAAAUGAAUUUAGCUGCUCCAGUAUGCUCCCAAAACCAAAGUAUUGUGGAAAAGAUAUUAAAGAACAACACAAAUGACUAUUGCUUCAAGGGAACGAGUCGAAUGGGAAUGGAAGUAAUCCGCACCGACCAGAUAGAGAAGCGUACGGUGAAUUGAAAAUAGAAAAGUGGAAGAGAGGCAGAGAAAUUAGAAACCCUAAUUUCAUAGGCAGAGGCUACGAAGAAGAGAUGGAACACAGUGCAAGGAAAAAGUGAGGUUUAUAUAGUGUGGAUUGAAGUGGGAGGCGCCCUCUUAUUCAGGUGUGAUUUGCGAUGACCCAGCCAAUUUUAAGGCAAUAAAUUAGAAUUUAACUUUAAUUUAAUAUUAUAUAACUGGUUUGGUAAUAUCAGAUAACUGAUUUUAGUGAGAUAAGGUUUUAUUUAUUUAUAUAUCAUAAUUUAUUUUUAUAUUGAUUUAAUACUAUUUUUAAAAAUGUACAAGCUUUUAAUAUUAUUUUAUUUUAUUUUUAAUUAAUGUGUGAUUUUCAAUAUAUACAUUAAUUCAAAUACAUAUAAUAUAAGAAUAAAGAGAAACUCUACUAUGGAUGACAUAAUAAAUUCUAUAUGCUUAGAAGGAUUUUGAUAUCAUAUCUAAAUUGUAAAAUUUAAUUAAUUUUAACAUCACAAUGUCUAAAAUAGAUUUUUUAUAUAUCACAAUAUAACUUUAUUUUUAAUUGAUAUUAAAUCUUCAAUCCAACAUAUUACAUUUUAAGACAUAAACAAAACUUAUAUUAGCAUGUAGAACACUUUUUCAUUUUCUUUGUAAGAAAGUUAUUGUUCAGAUUCUUAGAUGAAUCUCUACGUUCAAACUUUUAAUUAACGAAUAUAAUAACUUUGAAUUGAACCUAUUAUUUAAAUUUGCAAUUAAUGAAUAUAACUUUGAAUUCAUUGUUCAAAUUCAAGAGGGAAAAAAUACAAACAAAUCAAAAAAAAUUGCAGCUUUAAAUCAAUGGAGAAAUGUUAUAAUCGAAAGCAAUAAACUAAAGUAAAUUAGUUAGCAUAAUAUGGAUUUGUUUUGCAUUUUUCUAUUCAAAUCUUAUCAUUUGUUUUAUAUCUUUUUUCAUUCAAUAUGGUAGUUGUUUUGAAAUUUAAUAUUCACAGUUUUUGUUUUUAUUCUUCUGAAGAUAGUGAAUUAUUGAUUGUGUAUCUCUCUUUCAUACAUAUUCUAUUUUUUUCCUUGGAUGUUAGUAUUUUAUCAACUAAGAACAGUGUAAUAAAAAUAAAAAAUAAAAAAUAAAAGUUGCUCAUUAUUUUCAAUAUGACUCAAUAGUAUAAAUAGUAUACUACUAAAAUGUUGUUUGUAUCUUAAAUGGUUUGUUGUAAUGUCAACACUAAUUGCCAUUAGAAUUUUAUUCACUCUAGUUUCGUAUAGUAAAAUAGUAUGUAAAGAUGCAUUUCACUAUAUAAAAAAAAAGAGUAAGAUGAAUAAUAUUUAUGAUUUUUUUUUUAAAUCAUGAAAUCCUUCACACUGUGUUUGGAUGAUGAAUUUUAAAAACAACUUUUUUUAUAGAAAAGUUUAAAUGUUUUAUGAAAAAAUAAUUGGUUUGAAUAUACAGUCUUAAAAAAUUAAACAAAAAUUGUAGGAUUUUUUAAAAAAGUAACCCAAUUAUUUAAAAUUAGACAUUUUUAAAUUCCACUUAAAAAUUAAGAAGUUAAAAUUCACCAUUUCUCAAAUUUGUCCCUUUUUUAUAUUUUCUCUUUUAUUAUGUUAUGAUUAAUAUAUAUGAUCACUAUUUUGAACAUGUACAUAAUAUCUAUAGUUAUAGAGCAAUGAAUUGUAUUUAUAAUGAAACUAAUAUCAUUAGUGUUUUCACAUAUAGGAGGAAUGUUGUCCAAAUUCAAAUCAUAUUUCACUUAGUUGUUUUUUAUUUAACAAAUUUCACUAUAACAACUUUUAUUUGUUAAGUAUUCUACUAAAUGCAAAUAUUGAUACCAAUUAAGAGGUUGGGUUUUCACGAAACACCUAAGGUAAGAUUUUAAUCAUUGAUUAAGCACUUCUGUUUGGCCAUCCAUUUGGGAAUGAUAUGACGAACUGAACUUGAAUGUAGUGCCUUGUGUUAUGAACAUGUGUCUCCAAAAAGUUUUGACGAACAAAGGGUCAUAUUAGAUACAAUUUUUUUUGGUACGCCAUGGAGGUAAUCCAUGAGGUUUUUGGAAGAUCUUAUGGUAGUGUUGGAGAAGAGAUGAGAUGGGUGCGAGAAGAAUGUAUAGUAGGGAUGAUGGGUUAUGUUUUUCGGUCUCUACGGAUGGAGGUGACAUGGGAUGGGGUUCCAUAGAUAAAAGGUGUAAGGAAGCAAUAAAGUUGGUGGGUAGGUAUUGGCAAAAUUGGUAAUACGUAGUAGCUGAUGGUGGGAUGAAGUGUGGGCUUGUAAUUUGAUUUGGUGGUUGUUGUGAGUAAAAGCGAUACUCGUUACUGAGAAAUCUACCUUAAAGGAAAUUUCCAAAAUAACAUUUGCACCUUCAAUGGGGAGAAGGUAGAAGGAAAUAGUAAUUAUGGAUAUUGAUGUCCACUUGUGGGUAAAUUCCUUGCCAUUUAAUGAAAGUGCCAUUUCCAAUCAUUACAGAUAGGGGUGGACUAGGUGAGAUGGGUAGGUUUAAAUGGUGAGCAAUGCGAGGCUGGAGAAAGUUGUGAGAGCUGCUUGAGUCAAUCAAAACUGUAACUGGAAGGUUCUGAAUUAAGCCUGUGAAUUUGAGAGUUUUAGGUGAAAUGGUUAAUGUGAGGGCUUGAGGAGAAAGGUGAAAGUGGAUAGUGUUAAUGUAAUUAGUAGAGGAGGGGAUAUCAUCUGUGGGUUUAGUUGUGGUUUCAGGGUCAUCCAAUAGCAGAAAAAACGAGUUGUAAUGUAUUUGUGUCCCGAAAUAAAUUUUUUAUCACAAUUGUAGCAUAAUCUCAAGGGCCUUCUUUCUUGCAUUUGAGAUGUGGGUAAGCGUUAGAUGGGUAUAAUACCUGUUGGUGGGGGAACAAGAUGGGGUUUAGAUAUGUUGGUUGUGGAAGUGCUAUUGGAAGGAUGUGUGUGGUAAAGUAAGGGAAAACAAUUAUGUUUAGGUUUUGAAUCCCUAAUUUUGUCUUCAAUUAGCUUGGCUAUAUAGAAUAUGAGUUCAAGAUGGUUAGCUUUAUGCAUAUCUCAAUAUGCAAACUGGAAAUGAGACCCACAAUACAAUUGCAUAACUGUUCAAAAUAACAUUGAUAUUCAGUAACUGAUGUUGUUGUGUAUGUUGAUGGGUCAAAACGAAGCUCCAAGGAUCGUGUGAAUGAUUGUCAAACAGGUUGUUAUUGUGCAACCAUUUGAACCAGGAAAGAGCUUCUCCAUGCAUGUGAAACGCAACCAUGGAUACACGUGUUCUGGUGGUAUGGUAUCUGAUAGAAGGAGAAAUACUGGUCUACUUGAAAGAGCCAAUUCAAUGGGUUGUUGCGAUCAAAGAAGAGUAGGUUGAGUAUGGUUUGAGUGUAGGGGGUGGAGGGUGUUGAUGCUAGAAGUGGGAUUGAUUUGAAUGAGUGUUGGUUUGGUGGUUGACGGGUGGUAGCUUAUUCUCAUAAUGUGAAAGAGACACAACCUGAUUAAGGAGAGAUGUGAAAUUAGAAUGAAGAUAAUCAUUCCUCGCCUCUAGUGGAAAUUGCCGAUUGUUGUUUUCAUCUAGUUGGAUUUGAAUCACUAUGAGGUGUUCUUGGAUGUUGUGCAAGACCUCUUACAAAUUUCUAGAAGGUGGUUUGGGAGGCAUGGAAAACAAUGAAAGCACAAAAUCAAUUAGGUUUUUGCUAUAGUUACUAAUAAAACUAUGGUUUACCAAAUCCUUCUUUGUCUUUCUCAUAUCUAAUAAUACCCUUUAAAAGAGUGUAUGUGGGCUAUGAGUUUUACAAACUUAAAAGAUACAUUAAAGACUUCUUCCUGCACCCUAAGUUUCUCUUCCUGCACUCUCACAAUUUUCUAAAUCCCACAAUUUUCUAAAUCCAAAACCUGACCUUGACCUUUUAUUUGAAAAAGGACACCAUGGUUAUCAUAAAUUGGGAUUUAGGAUUUAGGAGUGUGCUACGGAUUUAGAGGUAUUCUAAAAACAAAUUUUGCAUUGCGGAAUUCAAUAGCCUAAUUCGAUUACAGAUUGGUGAAUCUGAAAUGUUUUUUUUUUAAUUAUGGAUUUCUGAAUGCUUCCAAUUUCAUAAUAGAGAACGCAAACAAAUAAAUACAGUUGAUGCGCAUUUUAUGAUUUUUAAAAAAAUAAUAGGAAUAAUUUGGUUUUUGAUAUAAUUUUUGGGAUUGCAGGAAAAAAAAAUAGAGAUUUAUGAAGAAAUUGCCUCCAUUAAAAUGUCUUUGGACUAUCCCAAAAAAAACUCCUUUAUCCAUUUAGGUUGUGACAGACAUCUAGUGCAUCCCACGUUUGUUUAAUGCAUUUGAAGGCUUGUAAUUUUGCAUUCUAAACCUUAGAGAUGGCACACAUGAAAGCAUCGAGUUCUUUAACAUACACAGUUAUAAAUAUCUAUUGGGCUCUUUUUAGCAAGAAUGGUGAUUUCUUGACAAGAUACACAAAAAUAAACAUGUCCUUGACAACUAAAUAAAUUAAUUUUAAUUAUAUUUAAUUUAUUUUUUAAUCUAAAAUAUUAUUAUAUUAGUAUAAUGAUUUGUUAAUUAUAUGUAUUUUACGUUUUGUGUCAACAGAAUGUUUUCCUAUCGCCAAAAACUUCAUUAGAUAUGUUUCUAUUCUUCAGUCCAGGAAUGAAGACUAAUUUGAUUUCAUUUUUUUAAUAGAUAUUUUUAAUUUGAGUUCAUUUUAAAUAAUGAUAAUAUUCUCAAAUUUACUUCAAUAUUCUAUUAGUCAAAUAUAAAAUAUUAAAAAUUAAAUUAUUUCAUUAAAAAUUAAAGAUUUAAUAAAUAAUGAAUAUUAAAUUUGAAUUAAAAAUGUGAACAAAAUACCGUGAAUUUAACUUCCUAGGGUUAAUUCAAUCUUGGUGAUUAAAAAAAGAUCCUCAGUUUCGAUAUAUCAUCAGUAUGGAAAAGUCAUUCUCAUCCACAGCAGUGUUCUGCUGUGUAGGAAGGUGUCCUAAGAUUAUUCCAAUUUCAUCACAUGAUAUAACUAAAACCACAGAACAGAGUUUAAAAGUCAAUAAUUAUAAUGCCAUUAACGGCACUACAAGGGAUCUUACGAACCAUCGCAUACUAUGCCAAUUAUCAAAAUGUAGCAAUAAAAAUGUGUUGAAACACGGGCAUAAAACAUAAUGAAACCUAGUUCUAAAACGUAAUGAAAACUUAUUCAUGGUCAGAAUAAAAAAGAAGGAAAAGGUUGUAAAACCUAUGCAAUUUACCAGCUUGAUUGCUUCAAAAAAAUACCGAGAUUCAGAAGCAUAGAAUCAUUUUUACCAUCACUAGUAAUAACUCAGAUCAAGUGUUGGAUUAUAUAUUUAGCUUCAUCCCAAUCUGCAAACAUUCAAACCUUAAACCAAAAAACAAAAGAUCUCAAAAAAACUAAAACAAAAAAAAAAGUACAAAAAAUAAUAAAUCUCACGUUCUGAAUACCAAAAUGGGGGAUUUUGUUCCCCGACGUCCAAUUGCAGCAUCAAAUUGCAACAACGGAUAGCGAGGGGAACACACAUUUCGGCUUCAAUUAAACAACACUAAACACCUUCGAACAAGUGCAAGCGAAGAUCUAAAAGAAAAUUGAGGCCUUUAAAAAAUGAACAUGUAAUUGAAGAACAAAAACAGAGCAAUAAAAAUAAACAACUAAACACAAUGACUUCACAUGCCAUAAACUUUAACAAAACAAAAAAUCACUAAAUGAAAAACGGGGAGCAAUAAUAAACAACUCAGUCCCUUAGAUGUUCAAUUAUGUUUGCGAUCAUAGCCGCAAAUCAUUACAGGUCUGUAGACUCAUCACAGUUGAAAAUAGCAAUUCCCAAAUUAUGCAAUCGAUGAAAAAACUAAAACCUAAACCAGAAAAACAAAACUUUGGUAGAAAAUUGGAUUUAGUUGCUCCAUUAUGUUCCCAAAACCAAGGGAUUGUGGAAAAGAUACUACAGAACAACACAAAAGACUAUAGCUUCAAGGGAACGAGUCGAAUGGGAAUGGAAGUAAUCCGCACCGACCAGAUAAAGAAGCAACAAGUUGAUCGGGAUUAGAGAGUAGAAUAGAGACAAAAGGAGAAAACAAGAAACCCUAAUUUCGAAAGCAGAGACUAAGAAGAAGAGAAACCCUAAUUUCGUAGGCAGAGGCUGAGAAGAAGAGAUACGGCACAAAAGCAAUGGUAAGUGUCGUUUAUAUAGUGAGGAUUAGAGUGAGUG
rnacentral:lncRNA from 1 species